AACGAACGCUGGCGGCAUGCCUAACACAUGCAAGUCGAACGAGACCUUCGGGUCUAGUGGCGCACGGGUGCGUAACGCGUGGGAACCUGCCUUUAGAUUCGGAAUAACUCAGAGAAAUUUGAGCUAAUACCGGAUGAUGUCUUCGGACCAAAGAUUUAUCGCCUUUAGAUGGGCCCGCGUUGGAUUAGCUUGUUGGUGAG
rnacentral:rRNA from 1 species